UGGCAAGUUUCUUGCCAGCAGCCGCGGUAAUUCCAGCUCUGAUAGUAUAUAUUAAAGUUGUUGCAGUUAAAAAGCUCGUAGUUGAAACUUGGGUGCGUAGGGGCGGUCUCUUUUAGAGUACUACCCUGAAACAUCUUUCUUUGGUGUAAACUCUUUAUUCACUUAAGGAGUGUAAACCAAACAUUUACUUUGAAAAAAUUAGAGUGUUCAAAGCAGGCCUUUGCUCGAAUAUAUUAGCAUGGAAUAAUAGAAUAGGACGUAUGGUUCUAUUUUGUUGGUUUCUAGGACCGUCGUAAUGAUUAAUAGGGACGGUCGGGGGCAUCAGUAUUCAGUUGUCAGAGGUGAAAUUCUUGGAUUUACUGAAGACUAACUACUGCGAAAGCAUUGCCAAGGACGUUUCAUAUCAGACGAAUUG
rnacentral:rRNA from 1 species